AGAGGAGGAGGGCUGGAAGGGGCCAGGGGAUUUUGAGGGAUGAGGGUACAGAUGCUGGGGCUGGUUAGGAAGACUCCAGUAGGCAAGUGUGAGAUAACUAAGCUUAUGGAGAUGGCGAGUAUGAAACAGACUUACGGAAAACAACAGAGGACUGCAGAGAAGAUAUGGAGGCAAGAUUAUUUUGUGGUGGAUGUACAAUUCAGUAGGAGGCCCCAGGGCCAGGUUGUUUUAGGUAGAAACUUUUCAGAUGGAAAGGAGGAGAGGGAAGGCUAUGAUUUCCAGAGAGAGGAUGGUUUUGGAAAGCUCUCUUUGGUGGGCAGGAGGGACUUGAAAGACACAGGAAGUGUGAGAGGGCUGUUCUUUGCUUCCCAUUUCACCUCAUCUGACCAAUUCCCCUCUGUACUUUCCUGUGAGCAGCUGACUGCCUGGGAGAGAAAUGCACUUCUUUAUUCAGUUCCUAUUUCUUCUACCACGCUUCAGGUUGCAACGUGCCAUAUGCUGGGUGUAUAUUUUCUAUAUAGAGAUCCAUUCCUUCGCUGGAAAGUCUUAGGUACCUCCGGAUUACAGAAGCUUGAAAACCACAAGUGUGGUUAUAGCCUGCUCCAUUUGUACUUCAGAGGUGAACACUUUGGCACAAUAGACUCGAAUUAAGCGCCACAGCCUUGAAGAGUUAUAUGAUGUUACGAAAUGAAAAUUCCUCCAUACUGAACAGAUGACUUAUUCUAAUAAAAGAACCUUUUCUCACAGCACAGUUUUUCACCGUUGUAGAUUCUGUAAUUGCGAAGAGAACUUCAAGGACAAAAACAAACAAACAAACAAACAAAACUCCUUCAAAAGAAGUGGGUGUUCAGUGAUGAAGAAGCUAAAGGAUGGACCUAGAGGAGUGGUCUUAUAAAAUCAGUGGUUGGACCAUUGUACCUCACGACCAUCAUCUUGCUGUAUUUGCUGUCUGGUGACCCAGUUUUGAGAGAAGAAUGGAAUCACUUUCAUCACUAUUUCUUGUACCUCCUGCACCCUCUGGAGAAGGAGUUAACCAUAUGAAUGAGUUUGGAAUGAGGAGUCACUCAGCCAUGCCCCCAUCUCCAGCAUUGCCCACAAUGAACCAUGUGCACCAACCCUUACUGUAGAAUAACUGAGAUCCAUAGAUACAGUUAAGUUCCAAUACUAAAUGGAUGAGUCACUCUCUGAAGCUCCAGAGAAACCUAAUUUUCUCUGCUACACCUCAGUUCUUAACUCUUUCUGGGUCAGGAUUUUGACUUUUGGGUCCAAUUUUAGAGCAUUUAAUGCCUAAGUAUGCAUAGCUUGGCUACAAGUCUAAAAAUGUUUUGGAAACUGUACCUAAUGUUUUCAAGCACUCAGACAAGAUAGGAUUACUACCAAGUUCUUGUGCUUAAUGGCUGAGGCUUUUAAAAAUGGAAAUAAUUUAAAGAACUGCA
ensembl:lncRNA